UACGUCAACAGACCAGUUUAGAAUGUGCCGGUAAGUUUUUCAUGUUUUUCAAAUCUUUUACUAUAUUAAACGAUCAAACUUGUACUUUAUUUAACCAAAGGACACCAGCACAGUCAGAUGAGAAGCUCCACCAGUAGCUGCUAGUGAAAAAAGAUGUUGGAAAUUUAGAUGUUGCAUGAAAAACUAUCAGCAUUGUUCUCUCGUGUUAGCAUGCUAGCUAGCUCAAUGCUAGCGGGGUAUGUAUGCGUCUGCACUAUGCAGACUGGCAGACUUCUGGUUCAGUGAAUCAGAGCAGAGUAAAUUGUAGCAGACCAGCAAAAACGUGCUUUAUUCCCCAUAAAAUUAUUCCAGUAUUAGACAUCAAUAGAAUUAUUAGUUUCUUUUUAAUUAGGUGGUGGUUUUAAAAUGGACUAUUGCUGUAUGUCUGUUGUUUUCUAUAAGGGCCGUUGUUAUGCAUGCCAUAACAAAAAAGGCAGGAAUACUGAGGUAGCAACGAAGUGGAUGUCCACAACUUCUUUAAGAUGCAGGCUCCAAAGACGUCCCUGGUGUGAUGCAAAGGCUGUCCAGCAGGCUCACAGACAUCUCCUGUUAACUGAAAGAGAAGCAUUUAAAAUAGUUGUCCAUUUUGACCAUGAUUGCAUUGACAACAUGCCCAGGCACACUGUCUGCUUCCCAUUUCUCAGUGCCACCUGCACGAAAACAGUGACUUUUCCACCUCAAGUCUUUUGAGGAGUUUUAAAAACAGUUAUUUUAAUUUCUCUGAAUUGUGGUUCAGAAUUUCACAGAAUCUAAAACACUUGACUCUGUGUUUCAAAGAUCUUUGCAAAACCAUCAGUCUUUUGUACAAAACACAUUUAAUGGUCAAAGAUUAAAAAAUGAAGCAUUA